GUGUUUGGAUGGCCUGAUCCAAACACGCGGGAAUGUUGCGAGAGUUCGAGCAACAUUCCCAAGUGUUUGGAUCAGGCCAUCCAAAC